GAUGGUAGUGUAUUGGACUACCAUGGCUUUAACGGGUAACGGAGGAUUAGGGUUCGAUUCCGGAGAGGGAGCCUGAGAAACGGCUACCACAUCUAAGGAAGGCAGCAGGCGCGUAAAUUACCCAAUCCUGACUCAGGGAGGUAGUGACAAGAAAUAACGGACCGAAGCCUAUGGUUUCGGGAUUGCAAUGAGUAGAAUUUAAACCCCUUUACGAGGAUCAAUUGGAGGGCAAGUCUGGUGCCAGCAGCCGCGGUAAUA
rnacentral:rRNA from 1 species